rnacentral:rRNA from 1 species
UACGGAGGUGGCAAGCGUUGUUCGGAUUUAUUGGGUGUAAAGGGUGCGUAGGUGGUUCCAUAAGUCAGUGGUGAAAUACGGCAGCUUAACUGUCGAGGUGCCAUUGAUACUGCGGAACUUGAGUACAGACGAGGUAGGCGGAAUUGACGGUGUAGCGGUGAAAUGCUUAGAUAUCGUCAAGAACACCGAUAGCGAAGGCAGCUUACUAGACUGUAACUGACACUGAGGCAAGAAAGUGUGGGGAUCAAACAGG